CCCCACCUCGGCGUGGCGUGGCGCGGUUUUUUUUUUUUUUCCUUGCCUUGACUCUUCCCCUUCUGGCUUAACCUGGAGUGACUUAGCAAAGAAAUCGGAGUAGAAGGCGGAUAAAGGAUGGGUAUCUCAAUCGGGCGGCUUUUGGGGAGAGGAGCGGGAAAGCAGCGCUUGAAAUCCUGCAAAAAAAAAAAAAAGCGGGGAAGGAAUAAUGCCUGAAAGCAUUAUUGCGAAGGAAUGCAGGCCUGGCCUUCAGAAUGAGAAAAAAAUGGGCAAAACUGUUCCAGGGAAGAGAUUCAGAAGAGAUUAUUCAGUCCUGAGAAAGAGAAAAUGGCAAGAAAGAAGCUCAUCAUUACUCUGCCUUGAUUGUACCAAAGAUGGAGUAGAGAGAAAUUCUGCCAGGCUUUCAAGAAUCUAUCCUUAUUUUACCCUACAACAAUAAAGGAUCUUUCUGGAA